CCUACGGGUGGCUGCAGUGGGGAAUUUUGGACAAUGGGGGCAACCCUGAUCCAGCCAUGCCGCGUGCGGGAAGAAGGCCUUCGGGUUGUAAACCGCUUUUGUCAGGAGAGAAAUCUCUUGGGCUCAUACCCUGAGAGGAUGACGGUACCUGAAGAAUAAGCACCGGCUAACUACGUGCCAGCAGCCGCGGUAAUACGUAGGGUGCAAGCGUUGAUCGGAGUUACUGGAGGUGGAGGUUGAAGACAGGUUUGAAAUCCCCGGGCUUAACCUGGGAACUGCACUUGUGACUGCACGGCUAGAGUACGGCAGAGGGGGAUGGAAUUCCGCGUGUAGCAGUGAAAUGCGUAGAUAUGCGGAGGAACACCGAUGGCGAAGGCAGUCCCCUGGGCCUGUACUGACGCUCAUGCACGAAAGCGUGGGGAGCAAACAGGAUUAGAUACCCGGGUAGUC
rnacentral:rRNA from 1 species